CAGACCAAAAUCCCAAACAAGGAAAUGGUGGGGGAAUAAAACGACCAUAUUAUUUAUUUAAUGCAUGUUAUAAUUAAUAUUUUAUUUUAUUGUAAAUUAAGAAAUAUUUAUGGGUUCAAAUGGAUUACGACUUCAAAACAAAGCUCGCAGCCGAACGAGAGAAGGUAGAAGAUCUGUUCGAAUAUGAAGGUUGCAAAGUGGGUCGAGGCACCUACGGGCACGUUUAUAAAGCUAAGCGCAAAGACGGGGAAGAUGAGAAGGAAUAUGCACUGAAACAAAUUGAAGGCACUGGAAUAUCGAUGUCUGCUUGCAGGGAAAUCGCUCUGUUACGAGAACUGAAACACCCCAACGUGAUCGCCCUGCAGAAAGUGUUCCUGUCUCACAGUGACAGAAAGGUGUGGCUCCUCUUUGACUAUGCUGAGCACGACCUCUGGCACAUCAUCAAGUUCCACCGUGCCUCUAAGGCCAAUAAAAAGCCCAUACAGCUGCCGAGAGGCAUGGUCAAGUCUCUCCUGUAUCAGAUUCUGGACGGGAUCCAUUACCUCCAUGCCAACUGGGUGCUUCACAGGGAUCUGAAACCAGCCAACAUUCUGGUUAUGGGGGAGGGCUCAGAACGAGGGCGAGUGAAAAUCGCUGACAUGGGCUUCGCCAGACUCUUCAACUCUCCUCUCAAACCCCUGGCAGACCUUGACCCCGUUGUGGUGACAUUUUGGUACAGGGCCCCUGAGCUUCUGCUAGGGGCCAGACAUUACACCAAAGCAAUCGACAUUUGGGCGAUUGGCUGCAUCUUUGCGGAGCUGCUGACAUCGGAGCCCAUAUUCCACUGUCGCCAGGAGGACAUUAAGACCAGCAACCCCUUCCACCACGACCAGCUGGACAGGAUAUUCAGUGUCAUGGGCUUCCCAGCAGAUAAAGAUUGGGAAGACAUCAGGAAGAUGCCAGAGUUCCCCACCCUUCAGAAAGACUUCAGGAGAACGACGUAUGCAAAUAGCAGUCUAAUCAAAUACAUGGAGAAGCAUAAAGUCAAACCUGACAGCAAGGUUUUCCUGUUGCUCCAGAAACUCCUUACAAUGGACCCCACUAAAAGGAUUACGUCUGAACAGGCACUACAGGACCCAUAUUUCCUGGAGGAUCCCUUACCAACUUCAGAUGUAUUUGCCGGAUGUCAGAUACCUUACCCAAAACGAGAGUUUCUAAACGAGGAUGAGCCAGAUGAGAAAACAGAGAAGAACCAGGUCCAACAGCACCAGCAGACGACAGCCCAGGCCCAGGCCCAGCAGCAGAGUGGCACCCAGCAGGCUUCUAACCAGCAGAGCUCCACCCAGACCAACGGCAAUGCAGGGGCCACUGGAGCCAACUCCGGGGGAGGCCUACAGCACGGCCAGGACCAGGGGCCCCCCAACAAGAAAUCUCGCACCGGGCCCUCAGGAGCCUCCUCAGGCACUGGGAUCCACCAGCACUCCAGCUCCCGCCUUGGUUACCAAAGCAACAUCCAAGGUUCCACUCAGUCCCAGGGAUACUCGUCGUCAUCCCAGCAGAGCUCACAGUACUCACACCAGCCACACCGCUACUGAGGCUCUUAGAACAGGCCAGGGGCCUCUCCCAAACCAACCCUCGACCAAAAACAAACCUUAGCAUAACCUCUCACCUCCCUCUGGCCAAGGUAUUACUGACUCCUCAUCCUGAUCAGACCUCAUUAUGUGUCAGAUAAUUCCAACAACACAACAGUCACUCAUUAUCUACCUUCAUGUCAGCCCUACUACACUGACUGACCCUGGCCUCACUUCCAGCCAAUGUCCUCACACUUACCCACCCGAGGGCACUGCAAUAUGAAGGCCAACUCAACAUAGGAACCAAAAACAAACCCUGCCUCCUUGAGGGGUAGGACAAGAUUUUCUAUUAUCAUCAAGUGGCAAAAUCGAUUGAUACUAGAUAAGAAGGAAACACGUCAGGUGCAACUGACUACACAACACAAAGACUAUGAACCAUGACACUUACAAAAACAUGUUCUUCAAGAGGAAGAAUUGCAGCUCUGUUCAUAUAUAAAUAUAUACUAUAUAGUACCUUUUUUUAUUUGUUUAACAAGAGACUUGUUUUUGCUCGUUUGCUAUGUAGAGUUUGUUUACUUUGAUUGUGGAUGUUUUUGUAAAUAUUGUUCGAUAUAGAAGAAGAUGGGAGGAAACAGGAAAAUAGCCCUUUACUGUCAUCACUUUUCUUCACUGUACAGUUGUUUACCCUGGAUUUCUGGUACCAGAUAACAAUUGAAUCAAAAGGAAAAUGAGCCAAUCCUUUCCUGAUGACAAAAUAUCUUCUUCUGAGAUCUUCCCCUUGGCUUGGAAAUACAUUUGUACAGAAGAAAGUUAGCUCUUUAGCUGAUGUGAUUGCAGGGAAUUACAAAAUACACAAUUUUAUCUUAAUCUAGUUAUAAAAAACUUUUUUUUUCUCCAAUUUUAAGCCUUUUGUUUUUCUAGAUUUGUAGUCUGAAAGUCUGCAUUGGAAGGAACCGUUUAUCAGCCUUUCUUCAGUCUGCAGCAAGUUAUGUAAGCAUCUCUAGGUACCCCAUGUCACCUGACCGAUAACAACUACCAAGCUACUGUUUUACUAUGAGUCAUGUCCAUCAAGGAAACAUUUGUCGGUGAAUCUGAAUGUUCUCCUUUCUGGCCAGAGGUGUUUGAGUGUGUGUGAGAUGCUUGUUGUGGACACCUUGACAGGUCUUUCCAUGGACACAGACAUCACUGAAGGUGACAUCAUAUAGUGCAGCUAACAGUGUGUAUGUUCCUGAGACGGUUACUGCCUGAUAGUUUUUUAUUUUCCAUGUAUUUUUCUAGCCUUUAAUGUUUCAUUAUUGCCCUUUACAUGUUUGUAUUUCCUCUUAUUCAGUCAAAGGACUGCACUGCUGAACGGAUCUGCAAAGACCUGGAACAAAUAUGGGAAGUCUUGCACCCCAGCCUCUUCAACUCCACACCCCUGGUAUUAACCCAGGCACACAGGCCCAGUGGAUUAACAACAGCCUUCCCAGAACAGUGGUGUUUACUCGGGAACAAAACCAGCAGCUAUUGGACCUUUUUUCUCUCUUUUAUUCUAUUGGCGCAUAUCUGAAGUAUAGUUGAAGAGCAUUGAGAAUACAUUAGAUACUGUUUCUCAAUGUAUCUCUAAACAAGCGAGGUAUCAAAAGUAUUAUUCAUUGUGCGGCUCCAACAAGUGAUCGUGGGGCAAAUAACUGUUAAACAGUUCCUAUGCAAAAGCAAAGAGAAUGGUGCAAUGCUUAAAUUUUACUAUGAGAGAUUGAGAGUUUUCUUAGGGUUUUUAAAACGAUUGGGAUAUCCAUUUCCACAUCGUAAAUCUAAUGUUGAACAUCGUAAUUGAAGAAGGCAUUCACUUGUUUCUUACAGCAUUGUUAAUUGUACUCUAAAUGAAAUAUAAACUAUAUGGAUGGUAUAUGGUUGUUCCACGAGUGCCUUUUGCGUCCCUGGGAUAUUUUAUGUAGAAAUUGUGCACCAAUUUAGAAUUUUAAAAGCCUGCUAUAUUAAAUGAAGUGCCCUUUAAUAUAGACCACAUGUAGAAUUCAAUCCAAUCUGAUUAUUAUAUGAAUAAAGGCUUGCUAAUGUGCGAAAAUCCUGUAUUUUGACAGGUCCCUCAGUUAUCCCUGUGUCACUUAUAGGAAGAUUUCAAACCACUUAAUCCAAACAUUUCUCCAAGUUUCACCAUUAUUGUAAAGCCCUAGUUAUUUUGUUGCUUUGACAAAGUCAUUUCUGAAGAUGAUUAUUUAUUUCAUGUGAUUAGUUAUUCAUUUACGUCUAUCCCUCAUUUUACGGUCAACCCUGUUAUGUGAACUCAACUAUUUUUAAUGUGGUGAAACUAUUCCUUCUCAAAACAAACAUUGAACAUCUAAUAGUCAAAUCAUAGUGUAAAAUCAGGUGAGCUGGUUCUACUCUUUUUGGCCAUUUUCUGUUGUUUUGUGGUGGAAAACUGAGCUGUCGAGCAUAAAAGUGAACCCUGUUACCCGUAGAUAUACAGACUAGAAAUGUUUUAGCAAUUUUUAUUUUUUUGUGAAGCUUGCAUUUAAUUGCCACUCCACAUGCACACAACAUGAUUCCAUUCCCCCUGUCACGAUGGGAUUUAUGGCUGAUUUAAGAUUAAAUUGUCAACCAUG